rnacentral:rRNA from 1 species
AUUGAACGCUGGCGGCAGGCCUAACACAUGCAAGUCGAGCGGUAGCACAGGGAGCUUGCUCCUGGGUGACGAGCGGCGGACGGGUGAGUAAUGUCUGGGAAACUGCCUGAUGGAGGGGGAUAACUACUGGAAACGGUAGCUAAUACCGCAUAACGUCGCAAGACCAAAGAGGGGGACCUUCGGGCCUCUUGCCAUCAGAUGUGCCCAGAUGGGAUUAGCUAGUAGGUGGGGUAACGGCUCACCUAGGCGACGAUCCCUAGCUGGUCUGAGAGGAUGACCCGCCACACUGGAACUGAGACACGGUCCAGACUCCUACGGGAGGCAGCAGUGGGGAAUAUUGCACAAUGGGCGCAAGCCUGAUGCAGCCGUGCCGCGUGUAUGAAGAAGGCCUUCGGGUUGUAAAGUACUUUCAGCGGGGAGGAAGGCGAUAAGGUUAAUAACCUUGUCGAUUGACGUUACCCGCAGAAGAAGCACCGGCUAACUCCGUGCCAGCAGCCGCGGUAAUAC